rnacentral:rRNA from 1 species
AAACGACUGCUAAUACCGCAUACGCCCUACGGGGGAAAGGAGGGGACCUUCGGGCCUUCCGCGAUUGGNUGAACCUAGGUGGGAUUAGCUAGUUGGUGAGGUAAUGGCUCACCAAGGCGACGAUCCCUAGCUGUUCUGAGAGGAUGAUCAGCCACACUGGGACUGAGACACGGCCCAGACUCCUACGGGAGGCAGCAGUGGGGAAUAUUGCACAAUGGGGGAAACCCUGAUGCAGCCAUGCCGCGUGUGUGAAGAAGGCCUUCGGGUUGUAAAGCACUUUCAGUAGGGAGGAAAGGUAAUAGUUUAAUAAACUAUUACUGUGACGUUACCUACAGAAGAAGGACCGGCUAACUCCGUGCCAGCAGCCGCGGUAAUACGGAGGGUCCGAGCGUUAAUCGGAAUUACUGGGCGUAAAGCGUGCGCAGGCGGUUUGUUAAGCCAGAUGUGAAAUCCCCGGGCUCAACCUGGGAAUUGCAUUUGGAACUGGCGAACUAGAGUCUUGUAGAGGGGGGUAGAAUUCCAGGUGUAGCGGUGAAAUGCGUAGAUAUCUGGAGGAAUACCGGUGGNGAANGNGGCCCCCUGNAC